UCUUCCGUAGUAUAGUGGUCAGUAUAUGAGCUUGUCAUCAUUAGCUGAUAUCGCUCGGGACCCGGGUUCAAUUCCCGGCGGGAGAG